UACGUAGGCAGCAAGCGUUGUUCGGAAUUACUGGGCGUAAAGAGUGUGUAGGCGGUGCUCUAAGUUCGGUGUGAAAUCUCCCGGCUUAACUGGGAGGGUGCGCCGGAAACUGGAGUGCUUGAGCGCGGGAGAGGAAAGCGGAAUUCCUGGUGUAGCGGUGAAAUGCGUAGAGAUCGGGAGGAACACCAGUGGCGAAGGCGGCUACCUGGACCAGCACUGACACUGAAGCACGAAAGCGUGGGGAGCAAACAGG
rnacentral:rRNA from 1 species